rnacentral:rRNA from 1 species
UACGGAGGGUGCAAGCGUUGUUCGGAAUCACUGGGCGUAAAGCGCGUGUAGGUGGUCUUUUAAGUCUGGUGUGAAAGCCCGGGGCUUACCCCCGGAAGGGCACUGGAUACUGGGAGACUGGAGUACCGGAGAGGAAGGUGGAAUUCCUGGUGUAGCGGUGAAAUGCGUAGAUAUCAGGAGGAACACCGGUGGCGAAGGCGGCCUUCUGGACGGCUACUGACACUGAGACGCGAAAGCGUGGGGAGCAAACAGG